rnacentral:rRNA from 1 species
UACGUAGGGGGCGAGCGUUGUCCGAAGUUACUGGGCGUAAAGCGCACGCAGGCGGUUCGCCAAGUUUGGAGUGACAGUUGUCGGCUCAACCGACAAAGGACUUCAAAAACUGGUGAACUUGAGGACGAGAGAGGAACAUGGAACUCCAGGUGUAGUAGUGAAAUGCGUAGAUAUCUGGAAGAACACCAAUGGCGAAGGCAAUGUUCUGGCUCGUUUCUGACGCUCAGGUGCGAAAGCCAGGGGAGCGAACGGG